rnacentral:rRNA from 1 species
UACUUAGUGGCAGACGGGUGAGUAACAUGUGGGUAUCUACCCUUUGGCCUGGAAUAACACGAGGAAACUUGUGCUAAUACCGGAUAAGUCUUUACGGAGAAAGCUUUAUGCACCAUUGGAUGAGCCCGCACUUGAUUAGUUUGUUGGUAGGGUAAUGGCCUACCAAGACUAUGAUCAAUAGCUGAUUUGAGAGGAUGAUCAGCCACAUUGGGACUGAGACACGGCCCAAACUCCUACGGGAGGCAGCAGUGGGGAAUCUUGCACAAUGGAGGAAACUCUGAUGCAGCGAUGCCGCGUGAGUGAAGAAGGCCUUUGGGUUGUAAAGCUCUUUCGUCGGGGAAGAAAAUGACUGUACCCGAAUAAGAAGGUCCGGCUAACUUCGUGCCAGCAGCCGCGGUAAUACGAAGGGACCUAGCGUAGUUCGGAAUUACUGGGCUUAAAGAGUUCGUAGGUGGUUGAAAAAGUUGGUGGUGAGAUCCCAGAGCUUAACUCUGGAACUGCCAUCAAAACUUUUCAGCUA